rnacentral:lncRNA from 1 species
UAGAGAUCUCACCUUUUAAAAAGCAUUUUAGUUUUCAGAAGUGGAUUAAUCCACGUCGAGACUGUCACCCUAAAUGUGAACCAGAGGAAGAGCCAUCACAAGGAAAUCUUUGCCUCCCCUGCAUGCAGUUUGACAGUUUCUAUUAAUCAAGUGGCCAAAGCCAGACCACUGAGACUUUGUCUCCAGGCUAAACAGCUUGAAGAGGAAGCACCAGGAUUCAAAUUCAGGUCUUCCGGCUCCAAAGGACACACUCGUAAUUACUGCAUUGGACUCCCUUUCUACUAUCAGGAUUCUUUUCAUUGCAAAUGGUCGAAAUCUGGGUCUUAAGGUAAACAGAGAAUUUGUUGUCAUGUAACUUAAACGUCUAAGAGUAUCUGACUUCAGACACGGGUUGAUCCAGGUACUGGCAUGAUGUCAUAAGAAUAGAGUCCCUCCCUUCAUCUGAUGGUUCUACUUUCCUCUGUGUUGGCUUCUCCAUAAGAAGGCUCUUCCCUUUUGAAGCCCCAGCUGUGGCAGCUCCUACCUUCCAAAGAUGGCACAACAAUACCCUUAUCUCCACACUCCUCUGCGAUGUGACCUUGACAUUCUUUCCACUCAGUGACAGUUCUACGUCCUCUCUCCUUGAGUGUGGGCAGGCUUGUGACUGACUGGAAAUCAACAGACAGUGGGUGGGGAUGCUGCUGCACGACUUUUGUGACCAGGUCAGAAAAGGCAAUGCAGCUCUUGCUUCGUCCUCAGGGGACCGCCUUUGGAGCCCCAAACGGGUGAGAAGUCCUGCUGGCCUGUGACGGCCACACUGUGGGGAAGCCCAGCCACACGAGGAGGGCACAGGUGACAACAGUGACAGCCUCAGCCAAGGUCCCAGUCGACAGCCAGCAGCAAGCACCAGACUGAAUGGAGAUAAUUCCAGAUGAUUUCAGCCCCCAGCUCUCGAGACACUCCCAGCUGUCGAUCGUUUCUAGUUGAGGCAUCAGACAUGGGGGAGCAGAGACGAACUCUCCUGCUCUGAUCCGUCUGAAUUCCUGACCCACAAACCAGUGAAAUAAUAAAACAGUUAUUUUAAGCCCUCACAUCUUGGAAUAAUUUGUUAUGUGCAAUAGCAAGUGGACACCGGGCUUCUAUCAGCCACGCAGCCCUGCCUGAAAGAAGGCUGCUCUCCUUCCCAGUUGUUCUGGGGCAGGGCAGUCAUUGGACCAGGC